rnacentral:lncRNA from 13 species
CAGCUACGGCCAAUAUGGGUCUGGCUCAGGAGAGUCCUCUGGUUACGGUGAGCAGGGAUCUGGCUCAGGUCACUCCUCUGGCUAUGGACAACACGGAUCUAGCUCAGGUCAGUCUUCCGGCCAUGGUCAGCAUGGGUCUGCAUCCCGUCAGUCUUCAGGGCAUGGACGACAUGGCUCUGGAGCUGGCCAGUCUCCUAGCCGCGGCCGACAUGGGUCCGGGUCGGGACAGUCUUCCAGCUACGGCCAACAUGGGUCUGGCUCAGGACAGUCCUCUGGUUAUAGUCAGCACGGAAGUGGCUCAGGGUAUGGCUCUAGCCGUGGACAACAUGGUUCCACGUCAGGACAGUCCUCCAGCUUCGGCCAGGAGGGAUCUAGCUCAGGUCAGUCUUCCGGCUAUGGUCAGCAUCGGUCUGGCUCCCGUCAGUCUUCGGGCCAUGGCCGACGCGGCUCUGGAUCUGGCCAGUCUCCUAGCCGGGGCGGACACGGGUCCAGGUCAGGACAGUCUUCCAGCUACGGCCAAUAUGGGUCUGGCUCAGGAGAGUCCUCUGGUUAUGGUGAGCAGGGAUCUGGCUCAGGUCACUCCUCUGGCUAUGGACAACACGGAUCUAGCUCAGGUCAGUCUUCCGGCUAUGGUCAGCAUGGGUCUGCCUCCCGUCAGUCUUCAGGGCAUGGACGACAUGGCUCUGGAGCUGGCCAGUCUCCUAGCCGCGGCCGACAUGGGUCCGGGUCGGGACAGUCUUCCAGCUACGGCC